rnacentral:rRNA from 1 species
CGCAGGCGGUCGUUCAAGUCGAGUGUGAAAGCCCCCGGCUCAACUGGGGAGGGUCACUCGAUACUGAUCGACUCGAAGGCAGGAGAGGGAAGUGGAAUUCCCGGUGUAGUGGUGAAAUGCGUAGAUAUCGGGAGGAACACCAGUGGCGAAGGCGACUUCCUGGCCUGUUCUUGACGCUGAGGCGCGAAAGCUAGGGGAGCAAACG